CAGUCGCCGCGGGAAUACGGAGGGUGCAAGCGUUAUCCGGAUUUAUUGGGUUUAAAGGGUCCGUAGGCGGAUCUGUAAGUCAGUGGUGAAAUCUCACAGCUUAACUGUGAAACUGCCAUUGAUACUGCAGGUCUUGAGUAAAUUUGAAGUGGCUGGAAUAAGUAGUGUAGCGGUGAAAUGCAUAGAUAUUACUUAGAACACCAAUUGCGAAGGCAGGUCACUAAGAUUUAACUGACGCUGAUGGACGAAAGCGUGGGGAGCGAACAGGAUUAGAUACCCCGGUAGUCCCUGUCUCUUAUAA
rnacentral:rRNA from 1 species